rnacentral:rRNA from 1 species
ACUCAAAGGAAUUGACGGGGGCCCGCACAAGCGGUGGAGCAUGUGGUUCAAUUCGACGCAACGCGAAGAACCUUACCUGGGCUCGAACGGCUCACGAAAAACUGUGGAAACAUGGUUUUCCCGCAAGGGACGGGAGUCGAGGUGCUGCAUGGCUGUCGUCAGCUCGUGUCGUGAGAUGUUGGGUUAAGUCCCGCAACGAGCGCAACCCUCGUCCUGUGUUGCUACUCCGCAAGGAGGCACUCUCAGGAGACUGCCGGCGAUAAGCUGGAGGAAGGUGGGGAUGACGUCAAGUCAUCAUGGCCUUUAUGUCCAGGGCUACACACGUGCUACAAUGGACGGUACAAACCGCUGCAAACCCGCGAGGGGGAGCUAAUCGGAGAAAACCGUUCUCAGUUCGGAUCGCAGGCUGCAACUCGCCUGCGUGAAGCUGGAAUCGCUAGUAAUGGCGUAUCAGAACGACGCCGUGAAUACGUUCCCGGGCCUUGUACACACCGCCCGU